rnacentral:rRNA from 1 species
GGCCCAGACUCCUACGGGAGGCAGCAGUGGGGAAUAUUGGGCAAUGGGCGCAAGCCUGACCCAGCAACGCCGCGUGAAGGAAGAAGGCUUUCGGGUUGUAAACUUCUUUUGACAGGGAAGAGUAGAAGACGGUACCUGUCGAAUAAGCCACGGCUAACUACGUGCCAGCAGCCGCGGUAAUACGUAGGUGGCAAGCGUUGUCCGGAUUUACUGGGUGUAAAGGGAGCGUAGACGGCCAUGCAAGCCAGGGGUGAAAGCCCGGGGCCCAACCCCGGGACUGCCCUUGGAACUGUGCGGCUAGAGUGCGGGAGGGGCAGGCGGAAUUCCUGGUGUAGCGGUGAAAUGCGUAGAUAUCAGGAGGAACACCGGCGGCGAAGGCGGCCUGCUGGACCGCAACUGACGUUGAGGCCCGAAAGCGUGGGGAGCAAACAGGAUUAGAUACCCGUGUAA